rnacentral:rRNA from 1 species
GACGUAGGGCGCGAGCGUUAUCCGGAAUUAUUGGGCGUAAAGAGCUCGUAGGCGGUUUGUCGCGUCUGCUGUGAAAGACCGGGGCUCAACUCCGGUUCUGCAGUGGGUACGGGCAGACUAGAGUGAUGUAGGGGAGACUGGAAUUCCUGGUGUAGCGGUGAAAUGCGCAGAUAUCAGGAGGAACACCGAUGGCGAAGGCAGGUCUCUGGGCAUUAACUGACGCUGAGGAGCGAAAGCAUGGGGAGCGAACAGG